AUGAGAUGAGAUCAGUGCUUGGACAUGCGAUUUUACGCUAUUUCAUCUCAUGA
rnacentral:pre_miRNA from 1 species